rnacentral:rRNA from 1 species
GCUAAGAAUAUUCCGCAAUGGACGAAAGUCUGACGGAGCGACGCCGCGUGGAUGACGAAGGCCGAAAGGUUGUAAAGUCCUUUUGUCGAUGAAGAAUAAGUGCGGUAGGGAAUGACCGUAUGAUGACGUUAGUCGGCGAAUAAGCCCCGGCUAAUUACGUGCCAGCAGCCGCGGUAACACGUAAGGGGCAAGCGUUGUUCGGAAUUAUUGGGCGUAAAGGGUACGUAGGCGGUUAUGUAAGCCCGGCGUGAAAUCCUGCAGCUUAACUGUAGAGCUGCGCUGGGAACUGCAAAACACGAGUCAUGGAAGGGAAGUUAGAAUUCCAGGUGUAGGGGUGAAAUCUGUAGAUAUCUGGAAGAAUACCGGUGGCGAAGGCGAACUUCUGGCCAAUGACUGACGCUGAGGUACGAAAGUGCGGGGAGCAAACAGGAUUAGAUACCCGGGUAGUCC